UGAACAGAAAUUCUAAUACCAGUACGCCUGAGGAUAUGCAAUUGCAAAAAUUAUUGCCAAUUUGUUUGCAAGUCUAAUUUCACUCACUUAAAUAAUUCGAAGUCGAAUCAAAUUCACAAAGAGAGCGAGAGAGAUUCGCGAAUAUUCACUCAACGUUGUCAACCAACUGUCAAAAUAAAUGAAAAUAUAGAAAACCCAAAGGAAACAUAAAAGAAUAUAAUAUUAACAAAAGAAAAACAGAUAAGCGUUGGUGUAAAUAAAAAUACACAAUAUCUUCUCAUAUAGGUACAAUAUUUACUUGAGAUCACCAACAACACGUUGAACUUAAAAAAAAAACCUAACUGAAGCACCGAAUCUGAAUGCAAAUGGAGCACAAUAAAUGUCGGUAGGUUGGAGUACAGUUUAUAAAAAUAAAUAACACCUUUGUUACGUUCGAAAGAUACAUUCUAUAUUAAAAAUAACUGCUGAACAACGUUCAUUGACACAAAAUCACAUGAAGAGGAGCACCACAGAGCACUUAUUCGAAUCUUGGUGCACACAGAACAACACACUGCUGGCUGAAGCUAAAGCUGAAGCUGAUGAUUAUGAUGAUGAUGAUGACCUUGUUGCUAAAGUUGAAUUGAACUGAAACUGAACAUUGAAGCUCUAUACUCUAUUCAAAGAUGUUAAACAAGUUUUUAAGGAUUCACAAAGCAUCGAAAAUCGAAUAAUGCAAUUUUUGUUUAACCGGUUAAUCAAGCAUCUGGAUAGUUUUCCGGAAAUUAAGGCCAGAACAAAUAGAAAAAUACUAAGAUGAUACGAGUAAAUCUUUUGUUUCUCAAAUCAAAUCAUCAUAAUCACUGGGACCGAGGCCAAGACAGAGCGACGCACAUGGAUCGACAUAAACCUUAAACACGCUGGCGCUGCCGUGCCCGUCAGUGGCUACCACAUUAAACAGACUAAACUAAACUAAAACCAGAGAGAAGUGACGAACAAUGGAGACAGCACCAAUAACGAAAACCAACCAACCAAACCAAACCAACAAACGACGAAAACGAAUCUCAUGUGUUUAGCUUUACUUUACUUCCCGAUCCGAUUCACUGUGAUGUAGAUGUGAGUUGUGACUUGUGAGACGUUAGUAUGGUGAGUGAGUAAUGUUAAUCUAUCCGAGUCGAAAUUCUCGCAAUCGCAACUUGUCUCGAGGUAGAGGCCACAUUUUAAAAAGGGCAUUGUGCAAGAACCAAGAAGUCUAAAAUGCAAAAAAAUGUGUUUAAAUUGCUCAGAGUGCAAAACUUGCUGAUGACACUUAAAUCUUGAGUUUUAUUUAAAUGCCAAGGAAAUAUAUUUAAGGCAUGCAUUUGAGGGCGUAAGAAAAAGCUCAUAUUUUCUUUUAAAAACAAUUAAAUUGUUUUAACAUUGAAAAAGUAGUUUUCAUGUCGAGUGACGAAACUGCAAAACGUAAUUAAAAAAAAGACAAUUAAAAUUAUUUUUCUUAACAUUGUUUUUUUUGUUUUCUUAUAAA